CGUUUCCGGUGUCAUGUGCUGUCCAUGACGGAUGGCAGAGCCAGUUUUUCUGCUCCAAAAGUGGGACUGGGGAGGAGACCGCAACACUCAAAUAGCCGGAGCCCUGGUUGCUGCCAGCCAGGCAUUGAGGAGUUCACUUCUUUUUCAGCUCCAGGUCCUCUCUGUUCGUAGGUGUGACUGUCUCGUGUCCCAGAGCUCUUUGGCUUUGGUAAAAUGUCAACAAUCCUGAAAUGGUUUGGACGGGAGGACAAGGACAAAGAGGAGAAGGACAAGAAAGAGGAGAAGGAA